GAGAAGAACGUAGCGAAAUGCGAUACUUGGUGUGAAUUGCAGAAUCCCGUGAACCAUCGAGUCUUUGAACGCAAGUUGCGCCCGAAGCCAUUAGGCCGAGGGCACGCCUGCCUGGGCGUCACACGUCGUUGCCCCCCCAUCUACUCCUUCGGGAUUGCGAGGGGCGGAUGAUGGCCUCCCGUGCGCCUCGUCGCGCGGUUGGCAUAAAUGCCAAGUCCUCGGCGACGCACGCCACGACAAUCGGUGGUUGCGAAACCUCGGUUGCCCGUCGUGUGCGGUCGUCGCGCAUCGAGGGCUCGAAAAAAUUGCCGGGCUCCGGCUCGGCUUUCAACGCGACCCCAGGUCAGGCGGGGUUACCCGCUGAAUUUAAGCAUAUCAAUAAGCGGAGGA
rnacentral:misc_RNA from 1 species